UGGAGUAUGCUGAUAAGGCUGUCUUCGGGAGGCAGGGGUCGGAGGUUCGAAUCCUCUCACUCCGACCA
rnacentral:tRNA from 1 species